UCUAUGACUCUAGAUCGGAAUGUUCAUUUAUUCGCUUUCUGAAGACAAAAUUCCAGCUAAGCGGCCAAGACCUCUCAGCAGUAUGAAUAUGAACAGAAACACAUCCAGCAUGCUUGAUGCAUCAGCCCUCAAUGGCUCCCCAGAGACAUUUUCAAAGCAUCUACAUCCCGAUUCAAGAUGAAAGAAAGUCAUAUAGGUUUGGAACGACAUGAUGGUGAGUAAAUGAUGACAACAUUUUUAUUUUAUGUGAACUAACCCUUUUCCAUGUUUAAAUGCAUUCCACAGAAUUCCACUGAUCCCACCCUUUAAAAUCAGUGCGGAAAAUGCAAAAGAAUCUGCUGAUUCCAUCUGGAUCUGAUGAUGAAGUCAAGUGUCAUUUGCACUAAAACUGAGUGUUGAUGGCCAUUGACCAUGUACUCAACAAAAGCCUGUGACCCGGAAACCGAUCAAAGAAAACCAUCUUGAAGGACAUCUCAAAUCUCUAAUUGCUCCAUGAGGAUGCGAUUCUACUUGGAGCGGUUCACGUCCUCAGGCUCGGAAUUAUGCACUUUUAUGUCAACACUAUCAACGCCUAAAUGAAUCUACAGCAGUCAGGUGGUACAAGUCAGAGCUUGUUAAGUUGUUUACGUUUAUUAUUAUUGUAAUGUUAUGUGCUUUGAGACAUGAGGUAAUUUAACGCCGUCUCUUGUGACGCUUUGCAGACUCUGUCAUGUGCGCGUUCAUGUGUUUUGGAGGAGGUGUGGUUUGGAGAUAGCUCUGAAGGGAGGGUGGGAUCUUAGGGUGCUUCUCAAUCAGCUCCCUAAUUUAGGAGUCAGGGCACUGAUCAGGGAGUCGGCCAUUUUAAGGGCUGUCUUAAUCGUAAAAACCUUCCAGGGCACUGAGAUGUUUGAUCUUUAAAAAGUCCCACAGUGGGAAUUUCCUAACGGAAUAUCUAAAGCAUGAAAUGUAAAUCACAUGAGCCAAAUCACUACAUGUAAUGACACAAAGUCACGUGUGUUUUUUUUUAAAAUACAAACCAUUGUUUUAUUAUAUUUCAGCAAAAAAAAUAAAUCACUAGACAUGUAAUGAACAUAAUCUAGCUAACAUUUAUCAUUUAUUUACGGCUGAAAUGUUGCUUGUAUAUGUAACAAUCAAUGUAUUUAUCAUAAUGUACUUUAAAUCGCAUUAAAAUAUAAUGUCAGAAAGAUAUCAGUUCUGCUGUUGUUCAUAAAUACCAGUAGUGAUGUUGUACAAUGAGGACGUUGUCGUGUUGGUGGAAAUAGAGUCAUCAGUGUCUAGGGUGACCAGGCGUCCCAUUUUUCCCAGGACAGUCCCGUAUUUUAGCUCUAUUUUUAGUGUCCCAACUGAUUAAGAAAAAAAAUCAUGUUUUGUCCAGUAUUUUGUCCCGUUACGACUGGGUGAUCAUAGAACGAGUAACGUUAGUAGUUGUGUUGUGGUUGUGUUUGUGUCGCACGCGAGAACAGCCCAAUCAAAAUUAGAACAAAAUUACCAUCCAGUCACAAUUUGUUAUCGAUUAAUUUGCCGUUAGCGAAGACGGGAUGGGCAGAAUCGCGCUGAAAGACACACCACACCAGAAGUGCGCUCUCUCUCACGCGCGCUCCCUCUCUUUCCUUGCGCGAGAUCCCAGUUGCGUGAUCAGUUCUCCUCGCGCCUGAAUGGUCAAAUUCACACAUAGUUGCCAAAAUGUCCAUUAUGUGGAUUAUCUCAUGUAAAUACAAUCAGUUAUGGCUUAAGUGGACGUAAACAGGUGGGUGAAAACCGGUUAUGUGUCAGUAUAUUACAUUUAUGAAUUCGGUCUUAAAGGGACAGUAGCCUAAUUAAAUAUUUGUCUGUCAUUAAUGUUAAUCAAACAACAGAAUACGUUAAAUAAACGUAUACAUGGUAAAUAAACAUACUGUAUCUGAAAAACAAGUUUAUUUAAUUACAAAUCAAAUCAAAUGGUCAUAUUGCCCACCCCUUGCUCACCCCGUAUUCCACCAUGAGAAAUCUGGUCACCCUAUCCGUGUCCCAAUGUGUAGUGAGCCAGGGUAAAUACUGUCCUUACCAGUGCCCAAAUUCAAGUACACGAUAUACUGAUUCAUAAGCUC